UUGCCUGGAACUGGAUAUGAGAAAUGCUUGAAUUAAGAUCUGUGAAUUAUCUUAUUUUCUUGUCAGAAGGAUGCAGAUUGCCCAUACUUCAUAGCAGAGCAACAGGAGGGACUUAGGGACAAAAAGAGGAAAACGAAGGCAUUACAAAACAAGCAUAUUAAGUAUACGAUUCACAUCCCAACAGCUCAAAGGCAAGGAAGACUGAGGAAGCUAAGUUACUGGCCAUAUGUUUAAUAAAUAUAAGCUUAAUGGCAGUGAAUGUAUUAAUGUCAGCGAAGACAAGUCUAUGAAGUUAAACAGGCACAGAGAGGCUAAGAGUCUUGCCAAAGGCCACAGAGGAAGGAAGAGACUAAAUCUGGAACAAACUUUCUAUUCUCCAUUUCCAGAAGAAACCACUAAACCAUGCUUCCUCUUGUCAUGGAAGCUUAAAAUAUUUGAUCAAACUACGUUUAAAUAAGAAUUAAAAUGCCAUUUGUCCAUCACCUAAUGGCUCAAUUUGCUCCUGCCUUGGGUGUGCACACCCUGCUCUGGAACAGACCAGAGCUCUAAAGAAGUGACUGGAAGUUGUGAAUGUCAUUGUUAUGAAGCUUCAAAUUUGCUCUCCUCUUUAGGACACAGACAUGGCAUUAGAGAAGGGCAGAAAACUGCACUUGGCUGUGCAUAGAGAACACUAGAGACCUCUUGUGCAAGAGAGGGGACUAGGUUGCGUAGUGUAAUGAGAGAAGCAUGGGUUUUGAGACCGCUACAAUGUCUGUGUCUUCUUGGCCAACAUUUCAGUAAGAGUAGUAAGCAUAUCUCCACAAUAGGGUUAAGAGAACCAGUGUCUUCUGAAAAACACAUGAAAUCAUCGUAACCCUGCUAAGUCUGUGCUUUGCAAAAAUUAAAACUAAAACUAAUUUUCA
rnacentral:lncRNA from 1 species